rnacentral:rRNA from 1 species
CAGCAGCCGCGGGAAUACGUAGGGUGCGAGCGUUAAUCGGAAUUACUGGGCGCAAAGCGUGCGCAGGCGGUUAUAUAAGACAGAUGUGAAAUCCCCGGGCUCAACCUGGGACCUGCAUUUGUGACUGUAUAGCUAGAGUACGGUAGAGGGGGAUGGAAUUCCGCGUGUAGCAGUGAAAUGCGUAGAUAUGCGGAGGAACACCGAUGGCGAAGGCAAUCCCCUGGACCUGUACUGACGCUCAUGCACGAAAGCGUGGGGAGCAAACAGGAUUAGAUACCCGAGUAGUCCCUGUCUCUUAUAC